CGAGAGACGUAAGGUCUCGGCGGACCGCUCAGUAACACGUGGAUAACAUGCCCUAAGGUGGGGGAUAAUCUCGGGAAACUGAGGAUAAUACCCCAUAGGUCUGAUCUGCUGAAUGCUUUCAGGCCGAAAACUCCGGUGCCUUAGGAUUGGUCUGCGGUCUAUCAGGCAGUAGUGGGUGUAACGGACCCACUAGCCCGUGACGGAUAUGGGCCUUGAGAGAGGGAGCCCAGAGAUGGACUCUGAGACAUGAGUCCAGGCCCUACGGGGCGCAGCAGUCGCGAAAACUUCGCAAUGGGGGCAACCCCGACGAGGGAAUUCCAAGUGCCAGCACUUUGUGUUGGCUGUUCUCCUGUCUAAAAAACAGGAGGAGUAAGGGGCGGGUAAGACGGGUGCCAGCCGCCGCGGUAAUACCCGCGCCCCUAGUGGUGGUCGAUAUUAUUGAGCCUAAAACGUCCGUAGCCGGUCUUUUAAAUCCUUGGGUAAAUCGGGCAGCUUAACUGUCCGAAGUCCGGGGAGACUGGAAGACUUGGGACCGGGAGAGGUCAGAGGUACUUUUGGGGUAGGGGUAAAAUCCUGUAAUCCUGGAAGGACCACCGGUGGCGAAGGCGUCUGACUAGAACGGAUCCGACGGUGAGGGACGAAGCCCUGGGGCGCAAACGGGAUUAGAUACCCCGGUAGUCCAGGGUGUAAACGCUGCGGGCUUGGUGUUGGGGGUCCUUAGUNNNNNAGUUGUUAAGCCUGCUGCUUNNNGAGUAUGUCCGCAAGGAUGAAACU
rnacentral:rRNA from 1 species